rnacentral:tRNA from 2 species
GCCGGCGUGGCGGAAUUGGUAGACGCGACGGACUCAAAAUCCGUUUGUGGUGACACAGUGUGGGUUCGAGUCCCACCGCCGGCACCA